CCUACGGGUGGCAGCAGUGGGGAAUAUUGCACAAUGGGCGCAAGCCUGAUGCAGCCAUGCCGCGUGUAUGAAGAAGGCCUUAGGAUUGUAAAGUACUUUCAGUUGGGAGGAAGGCGUUGAUGCUAAUAUCAUCAACGAUUGACGUUACCAACAGAAGAAGCACCGGCUAACUCCGUGCCAGCAGCCGCGGUAACACGGAGGGUGCAAGCGUUAAUCGGAAUUACUGGGCGUAAAGCGCACGCAGGCGGUUGAUUAAGUUAGAUGUGAAAUCCCCGGGCUUAACCUGGGAAUGGUAUCUAAGACUGGUCAGCUAGAGUCUUGUAGAGGGGGGUAGAAUUCCAUGUGUAGCGGUGAAAUGCGUAGAGAUGUGGAGGAAUACCGGUGGCGAAGGCGGCCCCCUGGACUAAGACUGACGCUCAGGUGCGAAAGCGUGGGGAGCAAACAGGAUUAGAUACCCCCGUAGUC
rnacentral:rRNA from 1 species